UCUGGAAUAGCUCAGUUGGUAGAGCAACAACCAUCAAAGUGCAGGUUCGAAUCCUGCUUCCAACUCAA
rnacentral:tRNA from 1 species